AGAGUUUGAUCCUGGCUCGAGGACGAACGCUGGCGGCGCGCUUAAUACAUGCAAGUCGAACGAGAAGCCAGAGCUUGCUCUAGGUGGGAAAGUGGCGAACGGGUGAGUAACACGUGAGAAACCUGCCCCAAAGAUUGGGAUAAGCCUUGGAAACGAGGUCUAAUACCAAAUACCUUCUUUUUAACACAUGUUAAAAAGAAGAAAUGCUCCGGCGCUUUGGGAUGGUCUCGCGAUCUAUCAGCUUGUUGGUGAGGUAACGGCUCACCAAGGCAUCGACGGAUAGCUGGUCUGAGAGGAUGUCCAGCCACAUUGGAACUGAGACACGGUCCAAACUCCUACGGGAGGCAGCAGUAGGGAAUCUUGCACAAUGAGGGAAACCUUGAUGCAGCGACGCCGCGUGCGGGACGAAGGCCCUAGGGUUGUAAACCGCUUUCAGUAGGGACGAAAGUGACGGUACCUACAGAAGAAGCCCCGGCCAACUAUGUG
rnacentral:rRNA from 1 species